GGAUUAGAUACCCUGGUAGUCCACGCCGUAAACGAUGAUUACUCGAUAUUGGCGAUACACAGUCAGUGUCCAAGCGAAAGUGAUAAGUAAUCCACCUGGGGAGUACGAUCGCAAGGUUGAAACUCAAAGGAAUUGACGGGGGCCCGCACAAGCGGUGGAGCAUGUGGUUUAAUUCGAUGAUACGCGAGGAACCUUACCAGGGCUUAAAUGCAGAUUGACAGACUGGGAAACUAGUUUUUCUUCGGACAAUUUGCAAGGUGCUGCAUGGCUGUCGUCAGCUCGUGUUG
rnacentral:rRNA from 1 species